GACGAACGCUGGCGGCGUGCCUAACACAUGCAAGUCGAGCGGAGAUUGAGGAAGAGCUUGCUCAGAAUCAAUCUUAGCGGCGGACGGGUGAGUAACGCGUGAGCAACCUGCCUCGAACUGGGGGAUAACGCAUCGAAAGAUGUGCUAAUACCGCGUAAGACCACAGUACCACAUGGUACAGGGGUCAAAGGAGCAAUCCGGUUUGAGAUGGGCUCGCGUCCGAUUAGCUAGUUGGCGGGGUAACGGCCCACCUAGGCAACGAUGGGUAGCCGAGCUGAGAGGCUGAUCGGCCACACUGGGACUGAGAUACGGCCCAGACUCCUACGGGAGGCAGCAGGGGGGAAUAUUGCACAAUGGGGGAAACCCUGAUGCAGCGACGCCGCGUGAACGAAGAAGUA
rnacentral:rRNA from 1 species